rnacentral:rRNA from 1 species
AAUAUUGGACAAUGGGCGAAAGCCUGAUCCAGCCAUGCCGCGUGUGUGAAGAAGGUCUUCGGAUUGUAAAGCACUUUAAGUUGGGAGGAAGGGCAGUAAGUUAAUACCUUGCUGUUUUGACGUUACCGACAGAAUAAGCACCGGCUAACUUCGUGCCAGCAGCCGAGGUAAUAAGAAGGGUGCAAGCGUUAAUCGGAAUUACUGGGCGUAAAGGGGCGGUUGGGUGGUUGGUAAGGUGGAAGUGAAAGCCCCGGGGCCGAACCGGGGACUGCUUUUAAAACCUGGAAAGCUGAGGAUGGGCGGGGGGUGGGGGAUUUUCUUGGUUGGCGUGAAAUGCGUAAGUAUUGGGAGGAACCACAGUGGCGAAGGGGACCAACCGGGCUAAUACUGACACUGAGGUGCGAAAGCGUGGGGAGCAAAC